rnacentral:rRNA from 1 species
UAGGGAAUCUUCCACAAUGGGCGCAAGCCUGAUGGAGCAACGCCGCGUGAGUGAAGAAGGUCUUCGGAUCGUAAAACUCUGUUGCUAGAGAAGAACAUCGCAGGAGAGUAACUGUUCUUGUAUUGACGGUAUCUAACCAGAAAGCCACGGCUAACUACGUGCCAG